rnacentral:rRNA from 1 species
UAGGGAAUCUUCGGCAAUGGGGGGAACCCUGACCGAGCAACGCCGCGUGAGUGAAGAAGGUUUUCGGAUCGUAACGCUCUGUUGUUAAGGAAGAACGAGUGUGAGAAUGGAAAGUUCAUGCUGUGACGGUACUUAACCAGAAAGGGACGGCUAACUACGUGCCAGCAGCCGCGGUAAUACGUAGGUCCCGAGCGUUGUCCGGAUUUAUUGGGCGUAAAGCGAGCGCAGGCGGUUAGAAAAGUCUGAAGUGAAAGGCAGUGGCUCAACCAUUGUAGGCUUUGGAAACUGUUUAACUUGAGUGCAGAAGGGGAGAGUGGAAUUCCAUGUGUAGCGGGGAAAUGCGUAGAGAUUAGGAGGAACACCGAUGGGGAAAGCGGCUUUGUGGCCUGCAAAUGACACUGAGGCGUGAAAGCGUGGGGAGCUAACAGG